CCAAAGGCUCUUUUAAGAGCCAUUUAAUCCUCUAGAUGGCUGUAG
rfam:Sus scrofa chromosome 7.